ensembl:lncRNA
GGGGCUCUCCCGGCGGCCGACGGGGCACGCUAGUGUUGGGGUCCCGCCGCCGUGAGGAUCGAGCUCGUGCGGGUCGGUCAGUCGUCGGGGCCUGCGCUGGGCCCGGGCCCAUGGCGGCGUCGGCGGCUCUGUCUGCGGCAGCGGCGGCGGCGGCCCUGUCUGGCCUGGCGGUGCGUCUGUCACGCUCAGCGGCCGCCCGAGGCUCGUACAGCGCCUUCUGCAAGGGGCUUACGCGCACGCUGCUCACCUUCUUCGACCUGGCCUGGCGGCUGCGCAUGAACUUCCCCUACUUCUACAUCGUGGCCUCAGUGAUGCUCAACGUCCGCCUGCAAGUGCGUAUCGAGUGAGCACCGGCGGCGGUGGCGGAGGGCCGGCUGGAGGGGCGCCCGUGUCCCCGCCCGCCCCCGGCCGCCGGGUCGCCGGCAUGAAGGACAGCUGGAUCGCGGCGGGGGGCGGAGGCGGGGCGGCCCGGGCCCCUGGACUCUAGACCUCCGCCGCCCAAGCACGAAGGCCCAGCCCUGGCCCGGCCGCGGUCUCAGUCCGGAGACCCCGGAUCGCGCAGAAACGCACUGAACAGGCCCCUACCAUCGGGCUCCAGAAACUACCUGGGCUCGGCCUACCUGUUGCCUCACAUUGGCCAAAGAGGGGGAAACCAGAAGGAGGGAAUUGCUGCGGCGACUUGACUUUCCAGGCCCCGAGCAGAAAGGCAUUGGCGUUUGUUGGCGGUGACCUGCCCCUUCUUUGGCCUUGCCAAGAGUCUCAUCCCUGCCUGGGGGCACCUCUGGCCCUGGACCUGCUUGGGCAGAGGCAGCGUGAAGGACCUGAACAACAGAAGAAGGGCCUUCCUAGUAGAGGCACAGCAUGGACAAAGGCUCACGGGGUGGGGGUGCCCAGGGAUCGAGUCCUGGCUUGGGAAGGAAGGUCUGAGUUCCCUGGGAACUGAGAUCUGCUGGCAGCACUGUGAGAGGUGUAUUUCCCCCUUCUAAUGACAGAGGAAACUGAGGCUUCGGGGAGGUGGGGGGUUGCCCUUGACACGCAGAUAGGAGGAGGAGGAACUGCGUGUGCCCCUGGGCCUGCAGGCCCCCACACCCCUCCCCAGUCUUCUCCAAGACCUGGCAUGGUGGGAGGAGGGAAGGGGAAGUGGAGAGGGAAGCAUAGGGCUCCUGGGGCACCAAGGGAGAAAGGGGCCUAGGGGUAUGGAAUCUGGGGAUCUCACUUUCUUUGGAGCAGUACCGAAGGUCACAGGGAAGAUCAGGAGGACAGACAGCUGAGAUGGGAGACAGAAGAGAUGGGCCCCAGGACCCUUGGGGAGCCAAGCUCUCCCCCACAGCCUAACCUCCCCACCCCACCUGGAGCUUCACCAAGGGCUCCUCAGCAGUGCAGUGGCACAAGCCUCCCAGUUUGGUGGGCAAGUGGGGGUGAUCUUGGUGUUGUGGCUCCUGGAGACACACAUAACCAGGAGGGUGAAAGGAUAAACUUGGGGUGUGCUGGGGCUGAGACCCAUGGCAUGACCCCAAUUCUCUCUCCUCAAGUUCGACCCCCCAUGACCAGGACCACACAGGAGAAUCUCAUCUCACGGCUUGGAUUGGUCCUGGGGGCCCCCGGGUGUGCUGCUAGCCGGUGUACAAUGGUCAGGAGCAGCCCAGAGGGGAGCCAGGAAGAGACCCUCGCCCUCACCCUCUUUCCCCAUUUUCCCAUCUCUUGCACUGGUACCCCGAGGGCCACGUUCUCAGUUCCUGGGACUGAAAACUGCAGCAGUCUGGCCAGCUCCAGGGACAGAGUGGCCCAGCCACCUACCAUGUACCCUCCUCAGCUGCCCACUGGACCCAGGUCCUGAAUGAAGCCGGCUGCCUGCCUCACCCCAGAAGAGGCUGGACAGUGGCUGCCUCGUGCCCCCUGCAGUCUCCCACAGCCAGGGCCCGAUGGCGUGCCUCCUAGUCCUAAGUUUCCUGAGAACCCCUGACCCUGCUGGCCUUUCAUCCCCCGCAACCCUGUCCACCCUGGACCACCUCUGGGGACCCGUCAGCCUGCUGGUCCUCCCAACAGAUCUCUGGGGGCAGCCUCUGUGGGUCAAGAGUGACACGGGGCUGGAGGAGAAGAGGAGUGAGGGGUCUCCUUGUGUCUGAUGCACAGAUGUGGCCCUUUCAAGCCCUGGUGUCACCCUCUGCGUGACUGGAUCCCCAGCUCCACCCUCUUCCUGGGCCAGCCAGGAAGGAUGGAGGAAAGCUCUUUGCUGAUUGCAUGUGUGGGAGUGUGGGGGGUGACUGAGCCCUCCCCAUGCAAGGGGCUCGGCCUGGGACCCUGGAACCUGCUUCCCUACUGGGAGAAAUGUGCAUCAGAGCUGCAGGGGUCCCUACCCUCAGAGACCCCCGACUGCAGGGAGCCCCACCCCAUAAGAGGGGCAUGGAAAUCCAUGUCCUCCCCCACCUCGCCGCCCCGUGGCUUCUGCCGUGGCUGUAUUGGCCUAGAGGGGCUGGCUGGGGAGGAGCAGGGCUGAGCCCCUCAGCAUCUGCUCCUGUCCCUGCCUUUUCACGCCUGCUGCUUGAAGUGGUAGCUCCACCUGCUGCUGCUCCACCUCCCCUCCCCACCUCUUCUCUCCCCGACGGGGCCCUUGCUGCGUGAUGGGGUCUCCAUGCACUUUAUUUAUUUGCAGUCUGUUUGCCAGGCGGUGGAGCUUCUAGACACCGACCGGAAUGACACACUUUUCUGUGCGUGAUUCACUGUGUACUGGUCAGCACAGGCUGGCCGGAGACAUGUUCUUGUUUCUGGUGUUGUCACGUCUUCUUGUUUUCUCUAAGUUAAAAAAGAAAAAAAAAAAGUCCUUGGUUUAAUACACUAAAAUCCC